GACGAACGCUGGCGGCGUGCUUAACACAUGCAAGUCGAACGGAAAGGCCUCUUUCGGGGGGUACUCGAGUGGCGAACGGGUGAGUAACACGUGAGUAACCUGCCCUUGACUUUGGGAUAACUUCAGGAAACUGGGGCUAAUACCGGAUAGGAGCUCCUGCUGCAUGGUGGGGGUUGGAAAGUUUCGGCGGUUGGGGAUGGACUCGCGGCUUAUCAGCUUGUUGGUGGGGUAGUGGCUUACCAAGGCUUUGACGGGUAGCCGGCCUGAGAGGGUGACCGCCCACAUUGGGACUGAGAUACGGCCCAGACUCCUACGGGAGGCAGCAGUGGGGAAUAUUGCACAAUGGGUGGAAGCCUGAUGCAGCAACGCCGUGUGCGGGAUGACGGCCUUCGGGUUGUAAACCGCUUUCGCUCAUGACGAAGCUUUGUGUGACGGUAGUGGGUAAAGAAGCACCGGCUAACUACGUG
rnacentral:rRNA from 1 species